GACGAACGCUGGCGGCGUGCUUAACACAUGCAAGUCGAACGGUGAAGCGCAUUCCUUUUUGGUGGGUGUGGACGAGCGGGGAACGGGUGAGUAACACGUGAGUAACCUGCCCCCUUCUUCUGGAUAACCGCAUGAAAGUGUGGCUAAUACGGGUUAUUCUGCGUCUGUCGCAUGAUGGGUCUGUGCAAGAUAUUGUUUCGGUGGGGGAUGGGCUCGCGGCCUAUCAGCUUGUUGGUGGGGUGAUGGCCUACCAAGGCGGUGAGGGGUCGCUGGCCUGGGAGGGUCGACUGCCACAGUGUGGCUGAGACACGACCCAGACUCAUGCAGGAGGCAGCGGGGGAGAUUAUUGAACAGUGGGCGCAAGCGUGAUGCAGCGACGCGGCGUGGGGGAAGGCGGCCUGCGGGUUGUGAACCUCUUUCGCGAGUGAAGCAGGCCUGCCUCGUAUGUUGGUGGGUUGACGGUAGCGGGAUAAGAAGCGCCGGCUAACUACGUG
rnacentral:rRNA from 1 species